CGAACCCCAGGAGUGAGGGCGCACAGCCGGGACGAGGAAGCGGCGGUCGGAAACCCCGCACCAGCGCUGCCAGCUUGCGGUCCGACGUGGGCUCAGCGCCCUGGGCGCGGUGCAUGUAGAUUCUCCGAGAGCUGUCAGUUGGAUCUGGCCAAAAGCCUGUUGUUCUGACAGGGGCUCAUUGAUGUUGGUCAAAAGACAGAGGUG
rnacentral:lncRNA from 1 species